rnacentral:rRNA from 1 species
CCUACGGGUGGCAGCAGUAGGGAAUCUUCCACAAUGGGCGAAAGCCUGACGCAGCAACGCCGCGUGAGUGAAGAAGGUCUUCGGAUCGUAAAGAUCUGUUAGUAGAGACGAAACUGCACGGUAGUCACAGAGCAAGCAUCGACUAACUCUGAGCCAGCAGCCGCGGCAAUACGGAGGGUGCAAGCGUUGUCCGGAAUGAUUGGGCGUAAAGUGUACGUAGUUGGUAUGUUAAGUCUGUUGGUAAAUGCAGAGGCUUAACUGGUGUGCGGCACUGGAAACUGGUAAGCUUGAAUGCUGUAGAGGUGAGGGGAAUUCCAGGUGUAGCGGUGAAAUGCGUAGAUAUAUGGAGGAACACCGGUGGCGUAAGCGCUUUACUGGGCUGUAACUGACGCUGAGGAUCGAAAGCGGGGGUAGCAAACGGGAUUAGAUACCCGGGUAGUC